UACGGAGGGUGCGAGCGUUGUCCGGAAUCACUGGGCGUAAAGGGCGCGUAGGCGGCGCGGUAAGCGUGCGGUGAAAAGUCCGGGGCUCAACCCCGGAUCGGCCGUGCGGACUGCCGGGCUUGAGCACUGUAGGGGCGGGUGGAACUCCGGGUGUAGCGGUGGAAUGCGUAGAGAUCCGGAAGAACACCGGUGGCGAAGGCGGCCCGCUGGGCAGUGGCUGACGCUGAGGCGCGACAGCGUGGGGAGCAAACAGG
rnacentral:rRNA from 1 species